GACGAACGCUGGCGGCGUGCUUAACACAUGCAAGUCGAACGGAAAGGCCCUGCUUUUGUGGGGUGCUCGAGUGGCGAACGGGUGAGUAACACGUGAGUAACCUGCCCUUGACUUUGGGAUAACUUCAGGAAACUGGGGCUAAUACCGGAUAGGAGCUCCUGCUGCAUGGUGGGGGUUGGAAAGUUUCGGCGGGUGGGGAUGGACUCGCGGCUUAUCAGCUUGUUGGUGGGGUAGUGGCUUACCAAGGCUUUGACGGGUAGCCGGCCUGAGAGGGUGACCGGCGACAAUGGGACUGAGAUACGGCCCAGACUCCUACGGGAGGCAGCAGUGGGGAAUAUUGCACAAUGGGCGGAAGCCUGAUGCAGCAACGCCGCGUGCGGGAUGACGGCCUUCGGGUUGUAAACCGCUUUCGCCUGUGACGAAGCGUGAGUGACGGUAAUGGGUAAAGAAGCACCGGCUAACUACGUG
rnacentral:rRNA from 1 species